UACGAAGGGGACUAGCGUUGUUCGGAAUUACUGGGCGUAAAGCGCACGUAGGCGGCUUGGUAUGUCGGGUGUGAAAUCCCCGGGCUCAACCUGGGAACUGCAUCCGAAACUGCCUUGCUAGAGUAUGGGAGAGGGAAGUGGAAUUUCCGGUGUAGCGGUGAAAUGCGUAGAUAUCGGAAGGAACAUCAGUGGCGAAGGCGACUUCCUGGACCAAUACUGACGCUCAGGUGCGAAAGCGUGGGGAGCAAACAGG
rnacentral:rRNA from 1 species